AAAACUUUCAACAACGGAUCUCUUGGUUCUGGCAUCGAUGAAGAACGCAGCGAAAUGCGAUAAGUAAUGUGAAUUGCAGAAUUCAGUGAAUCAUCGAAUCUUUGAACGCACAUUGCGCCCCUUGGUAUUCCGGGGGGCAUGCCUGUUCGAGCGUCAUUA
rnacentral:rRNA from 68 species